UCCCUGGUGUUCUAGUGGCUAAGACUCUGCACUCCCAAUGCAGGGGCCAGAGUUCAAUCCCUGGUCAGGGAG
rfam:Ovis aries breed Texel chromosome 18, whole genome shotgun sequence.